rnacentral:rRNA from 1 species
GACGAACGCUGGCGGCGUGCUUAACACAUGCAAGUCGAACGAAGUGGCGAACGGGUGAGUAACGCGUAAUCAACCUGCCCUUCAGAGGGGUACAACAGUUGGAAACGACUGCUAAUACCGCAUACUGAAGGAGGGGAUUGCGUCUGAUUAGCUAGGUGGAGGGGUAACGGCCCGCCAAGGCGAUGAUCAGGAGCCGGUCGGAGAGGAUGGACGGCCACAUUGGGACUGGGACACGGCCCAGGCUCCUACGGGAGGGAGCAGUGGGGAAUCUUCCGAAAUGGACGAAAGUCUGACGGAGCAACGCCGCGUGAGUGAUGACGGCCUUCGGGUGGUAAAGGUCUGUUAAUCGGGACGCGGUACCGGAAGAGGAAGCCACGGCUAACUACGUGCCAGCAGCCGCGGUAAUAC